CAUCUUUAUCCUAGCUGCGUCGUCUACACUGCGCUUGCAUGCUUGUCGUGGGUGCUUGUCCUUUCAGUGAGUGGCGGACGGGUGAGUAACUCGUGGACAACCGGCCUCGCGGCUGGGGAUAUCAUUUGGAAACAGAUGCUAUUACCGAAUAAAACUUAGUGUCGCAUGACACAAAGUUAAAAGGCGCUUUGGCGUCACCUAGAGAUGGAUCCGCGGUGCAUUAGUUAGUUGGUGGGGUAAAGGCCUACCAAGACAAUGAUGCAUAGCCGAGUUGAGAGACUGAUCGGCCACAUUGGGACUGAGACACGGCCCAAACUCCUACGGGAGGCUGCAGUAGGGAAUCUUCCACAAUGGGCGAAAGCCUGAUGGAGCAACGCCGCGUGUGUGAUGAAGGCUUUCGGGUCGUAAAGCACUGUUGUAUGGGAAGAACAGCUAGAAUAGGGAAUGAUUUUAGUUUGACGGUACCAUACCAGAAAGGGACGGCUAAAUACGUGCCAGCAGCCGCGGUAAUACGUAUGUCCCGAGCGUUAUCCGGAUUUAUUGGGCGUAAAGCGAGCGCAGACGGUUGAUUAAGUCUGAUGUGAAAGCCCGGAGCUCAACUCCGGAAUGGCAUUGGAAACUGGUUAACUUGAGUGCAGUAGAGGUAAGUGGAACUCCAUGUGUAGCGGUGGAAUGCGUAGAUAUAUGGAAGAACACCAGUGGCGAAGGCGGCUUACUGGACUGUAACUGACGUUGAGGCUCGAAAGUGUGGGUAGCAAACAGGAUUAGAUACCCUGGUAGUCCACACCGUAAACGAUGAACACUAGGUGUUAGGAGGUUUCCGCCUCUUAGUGCCGAAGCUAACGCAUUAAGUGUUCCGCCUGGGGAGUACGACCGCAAGGUUGAAACUCAAAGGAAUUGACGGGGACCCGCACAAGCGGUGGAGCAUGUGGUUUAAUUCGAAGCAACGCGAAGAACCUUACCAGGUCUUGACAUCCUUUGAAGCUUUUAGAGAUAGAAGUGUUCUCUUCGGAGACAAAGUGACAGGUGGUGCAUGGUCGUCGUCAGCUCGUGUCGUGAGAUGUUGGGUUAAGUCCCGCAACGAGCGCAACCCUUAUUGUUAGUUGCCAGCAUUCAGAUGGGCACUCUAGCGAGACUGCCGGUGACAAACCGGAGGAAGGCGGGGACGACGUCAGAUCAUCAUGCCCCUUAUGACCUGGGCUACACACGUGCUACAAUGGCGUAUACAACGAGUUGCCAACCCGCGAGGGUGAGCUAAUCUCUUAAAGUACGUCUCAGUUCGGAUUGUAGUCUGCAACUCGACUACAUGAAGUCGGAAUCGCUAGUAAUCGCGGAUCAGCACGCCGCGGUGAAUACGUUCCCGGGUCUUGUACACACCGCCCGUCACACCAUGGGAGUUUGUAAUGCCCAAAGCCGGUGGCCUAACCUUUAGGAAGGAGCCGUCCAUAGAAAGAGG
rnacentral:rRNA from 1 species